GACGAACGCUGGCGGCGUGCCUAAUACAUGCCAGUAGAACGCACAGUUUAUACCGUAGCUUGCUACACCAUAGACUGUGAGUUGCGAACGGGUGAGUAACGCGUAGGUAACCUGCCUGGUAGCGGGGGAUAACUAUUGGAAACGAUAGCUAAUACCGCAUAAUAUUAAUUAUUGCAUGAUAAUUAAUUGAAAGGUGCAAUUGCACCACUACCAGAUGGACCUGCGUUGUAUUAGCUAGUAGGUGAGGUAACGGCUCACCUAGGCGACGAUACAUAGCCGACCUGAGAGGGUGAUCGGCCACACUGGGACUGAGACACGGCCCAGACUCCUACGGGAGGCAGCAGUAGGGAAUCUUCGGCAAUGGACGAAAGUCUGACCGAGCAACGCCGCGUGAGUGAAGAAUGUUUUCGGAUCGUAAAGCUCUGUUGUAAGAGAAGAACGGGUGUGAGAGUGGAAAGUUCACACUGUGACGGUAUCUUACCAGAAAGGGACGGCUAACUACGUG
rnacentral:rRNA from 1 species